rnacentral:rRNA from 1 species
AUGGCAGAGGCUGUUGUUUAUGUUGUGCUUGGGAAAAUUGCUGCUAAUUUGGGGCGAGAUGCUAUAAAUGCAAUAGGAAAAGAAGCAUCGGAUUUACUUGAAGCUGAGAACAACAUGAAGCAGCUUGAGAUUGAAUUUAGAGUUAUGAAAGCUUUUCUAAUCCAAGUAACAAUGUGCUCAUCACGUAAUCUGGCUUUUGAUGCGUGGCUUGAUGAGGUAAAGAGGGUUUCACAUGACGCUGAGGAUGUAAUUGACGGGUAUGAAUACCUGCUUGGACAAUCAAAUACACAAGGUUGUAGUUCACUGAAGAAACUAUGGCGCCGUUCCAAACAUGCGGGUGGUUGGCGAAGCAUUACUGAACAGCUUAAGCAGAUUGAGGUCCGCCUUUCAAAGCUCACAAACAGGAGAGAUCGUUAUGGUAUUGCAAUCAAUGUAGAAGAAGUUAACCACACAAGCCAGAAUGGUCAGCUGGAACAUGCUCUGGACUCAACAUGUAUAAACAUCGAGGAUGAGGUGGUCGGGAUUGAAGAAGAAACAUCAUGGCUCGUACAACAGUUGAUACACGGGCAAGAAGAACGAACAAUCGUCUCUGUCUGUAGUAUGGGUGGUUUAGGCAAGACGACUCUUGUCCGCCAGGUCUAUAAAAAGGAUGAAAUUAAGCAGAAUUUUGACUGUUCUGCAUGGAUUUCAGUUUCUCAAAGUUACAACAUUGAACAUCUGUUGAGGGAACUAUUAAAGCAGCUCCAGGAGAAGGAAAAGGACAUCCCUCGUCAGGUUGGCACUAGGGAUGCUGCAAGCUUGGUACAAACACUAACCGACUUCUUGCAGGACAAAAGGAAAUGGCGGACGAUGAGUUAA